CCUACGGGUGGCAGCAGUGAGGAAUAUUGGUCAAUGGACGAGAGUCUGAACCAGCCCAGUAGCGUGAAGGAUGACUGCCCUAUGGGUUGUAAACUUCUUUUAUAUGGGAAUAAAAUGUUCCACGUGUGGGAUUUUGUAUGUACCAUAUGAAUAAGGAUCGGCUAACUCCGUGCCAGCAGCCGCGGUAAUACGGAGGAUCCGAGCGUUAUCCGGAUUUAUUGGGUUUAAAGGGAGCGUAGGUGGAUUGUUAAGUCAGUUGUGAAAGUUUGCGACUCAACCGUAAAAUUGCAGUUGAAACUGGCAGUCUUGAGUACAGUAGAGGUGGGCGGAACUCGUGGUGUAGCGGUGAAAUGCUUAGAUAUCACGAAGAACUCCGAUUGCGAAGGCAGUUCACUGGACUGCAACUGACACUGAGGCUCGAAAGUGUGGGUAUCAAACAGGAUUAGAUACCCCAGUAGUC
rnacentral:rRNA from 1 species